rnacentral:rRNA from 1 species
GUCGACGGUGAUGAGGAGCUUGCUUCUCUGAUCAGUGGCGAACGGGUGAGUAACACGUGAGCAAUCUGCCCUUGACUCUGGGAUAACUGCGGGAAACUGUAGCUAAUACCGGAUACGACCUGAAGAGGCAUCUUUUUGGGUGGAAAGAAUUUUGGUCAAGGAUGAGCUCGCGGCCUAUCAGCUUGUUGGUGAGGUAAUGGCUCACCAAGGCGACGACGGGUAGCCGGCCUGAGAGGGUGACCGGCCACACUGGGACUGAGACACGGCCCAGACUCCUACGGGAGGCAGCAGUGGGGAAUAUUGCACAAUGGGCGCAAGCCUGAUGCAGCAACGCCGCGUGAGGGACGAAGGCCUUCGGGUUGUAAACCUCUUUUAGUAGGGAAGAAGCGACUGGGUUUUCCUGGGAGUGACGGUACCUGCAGAAAAAGCACCGGCUAACUACGUGCCAGCAGCCGCGGUAAUACGUAGGGUGCAAGCGUUGCCCGGAAUUAUUGGGCGUAAAGAGCUCGUAGGCGGUUUGUCGCGUCUGCUGUGAAAACCCGAGGCUCAACCUCGGGCCUGCAGUGGGUACGGGCAGACUAGAGUGCGGUAGGGGAGAUUGGAAUUCCUGGUGUAGCGGUGGAAUGCGCAGAUAUCAGGAGGAACACCAAUGGCGAAGGCAGAUCUCUGGGCCGUAACUGACGCUGAGGAGCGAAAGCAUGGGGAGCGA